UUCAGACGAUGCGUCAUGCAUAUCAAUAAGCGGAGGAAAAGAAACUAACUAGGAUUCCCUCAGUAACGGCGAGUGAAGCGGGAAGAGCUCAAAUUUGAAAUCUUCAAGGUUUUACCUUGACGAAUUGUAGUUUAAAGAAGUGUUUUCUGUUGAAGUUUUGGUAAAAGUUCUUUGGAAUAGGACAUCAUAGAGGGUGAGAAUCCCGUAUUUGACCAUUAUCUCCAGCCUGUGUGAUACACUUUCAAAGAGUCGGAUUGUUUGGGAAUGCAGUCCAAAAUGGGUGGUAAAUUUCAUCUAAAGCUAAAUAUUGGCGAGAGACCGAUAGCGAACAAGUACCGUGAGGGAAAGAUGAAAAGAACUUUGAAAAGAGAGUUAAACAGUACGUGAAAUUGUCAAAAGGGAAGCGUUUGACACCAGUGUUGUUUUAGUUGAAAAUCAAUUAAAAAGAGUUGGAUUUUGUGUUGUAUUGACCUUAACAGCUUGCUUCACUCUUUUCCUGCUUUUUUUAAUGCACUUUUCGUUUAACAAGUCAACAUCAGUUUCUUUUGUUGUAAAAGGGUCAUUGGAAGGUGGCUUUCUCUUCGGAGAAAGUGUUUAUAGCCUUUGAUCUCUGCAAUCGGAGAGACUGAGGUCUGCAGCGUAGAUCCUUCGGGGUUAGAUACAUUUGUGCUAAGCUACAGCCUUUCAUAGACAACUUGUUGACUAUGAUUUAGUCAUUGUAGCUUACUCCGCUUAUGCUAUUUUACCUACGCUUAGGAUGUUGAUAUGCAUGACUGAUAU
rnacentral:rRNA from 1 species